GGUUUGAUUAUGGCUCAGGAUGAACGCUAGCUACAGGCUUAACACAUGCAAGUCGAGGGGCAGCAUUUUAGUUUGCUUGCAAACUAAAGAUGGCGACCGGCGCACGGGUGAGUAACACGUAUCCAACCUGCCGAUAACUCGGGGAUAGCCUUUCGAAAGAAAGAUUAAUAUCCGAUAGUAUAUUAAAACCGCAUGGUUUUACUAUUAAAGAAUUUCGGUUAUCGAUGGGGAUGCGUUCCAUUAGUUUGUUGGCGGGGUAACGGCCCACCAAGACUACGAUGGAUAGGGGUUCUGAGAGGAAGGUCCCCCACAUUGGAACUGAGACACGGUCCAAACUCCUACGGGAGGCAGCAGUGAGGAAUAUUGGUCAAUGGACGAGAGUCUGAACCAGCCAAGUAGCGUGAAGGAUGACUGCCCUAUGGGUUGUAAACUUCUUUUAUAUGGGAAUAAAGUAUUCCACGUGUGGGAUUUUGUAUGUACCAUAUGAAUAAGGAUCGGCUAACUCCGUGCCAGCAGCCGCGGCAAUACGGAGGAUCCGAGCGUUAUCCGGAUUUAUUGGGUUUAAAGGGAGCGUAGGUGGAUUGUUAAGUCAGUUGUGAAAGUUUGCGGCUCAACCGUAAAAUUGCAGUUGAAACUGGCAGUCUUGAGUACAGUAGAGGUGGGCGGAAUUCGUGGUGUAGCGGUGAAAUGCUUAGAUAUCACGAAGAACUCCGAUUGCGAAGGCAGCUCACUAGACUGCAGCUGACACUGAUGCUCGAAAGUGUGGGUAUCAAACAGGAUUAGAUACCCUGGUAGUCCACACAGUAAACGAUGAAUACUCGCUGUUUGCGAUAUACAGUAAGCGGCCAAGCGAAAGCAUUAAGUAUUCCACCUGGGGAGUACGCCGGCAACGGUGAAACUCAAAGGAAUUGACGGGGGCCCGCACAAGCGGAGGAACAUGUGGUUUAAUUCGAUGAUACGCGAGGAACCUUACCCGGGCUUAAAUUGCAUUUGAAUAAUCUGGAAACAGGUUAGCCGCAAGGCAAAUGUGAAGGUGCUGCAUGGUUGUCGUCAGCUCGUGCCGUGAGGUGUCGGCUUAAGUGCCAUAACGAGCGCAACCCUUAUCUUUAGUUACUAACAGGUCAUGCUGAGGACUCUAGAGAGACUGCCGUCGUAAGAUGUGAGGAAGGUGGGGAUGACGUCAAAUCAGCACGGCCCUUACGUCCGGGGCUACACACGUGUUACAAUGGGGGGUACAGAAGGCGGCUACCUGGCGACAGGAUGCUAAUCCCAAAAACCUCUCUCAGUUCGGAUCGAAGUCUGCAACCCGACUUCGUGAAGCUGGAUUCGCUAGUAAUCGCGCAUCAGCCAUGGCGCGGUGAAUACGUUCCCGGGCCUUGUACACACCGCCCGUCAAGCCAUGAAAGCCGGGGGUACCUGAAGUACGUAACCGCAAGGAGCGUCCUAGGGUAAAACUGGUAAUUGGGGCUAAGUCGUAACAAGGUAUCC
rnacentral:rRNA from 1 species